GAUGAACGCUGGCGGCGCGCCUAACACAUGCAAGUCGAACGGUUAAAGCACCUUUUAGGUGUGUAUAAGGUGGCGAACGGCUGAGUAACACGUUGGCAACCUGCCCUCCUCUUGGGGAUAGCCUCGGGAAACCGAGGAUAAUACCCGAUACUUCAAUGUGGCCGCAUGACGACAUUGAGAAAGCUUUUGCGGAGAAGGAUGGGCCCGCGGCCUGUUAGCUUGUUGGUGGGGUAGAGGCCUACCAAGGCAAUGAUGGGUAGCUGGGUUGAGAGACCGACCAGGAACAUUGAGACUGGGACACGGCCAAGACUCCGACGGGAGGCAGCAGCGGGGGUGGGUGAAAAAUGGGCGAAAGCCUGAUGCAGCGACGCCGCGGGCGGGAGGAAGGCCUUCGGGUUGUAAACCGCUUUCAGCAGGGACGAGGAGAUAAGUGACGGUACCUGAAGAAGAAGCGACGGCUAACUACGUG
rnacentral:rRNA from 1 species